rnacentral:rRNA from 1 species
AGUGCAUUUGUUGCGGACACGGACUUUGGCAGCCAUUCAAUCACCCACCAGACACUCAUCUCUUCCGCCCCUGCUGCCUAAGCUGCUGCUGCUUUUUCCUCUGCUCCUCACCUCCUCCACGCCUCCUCCCCUACCCUUUUCCCCUCCUUCUCCUCUGCAGCCGCCUGCGCCAUGUCGUCGUCGUUCGCGCACCACCACGGCUCUCUGCAGGUGGAGAGGAUGUCUGCGCUGAAGAGUAGCCUCAGGCCGUGCGAGGCAGCCGAGGAGGUGGCGGCCGCCGUGGUCGCUGGGCCGGCGGCGUGGGGAGCCGGGCUGCUGGGUGACGGCUUCUCGGUGGAGGAGCUCCUCGACCUUGAGGAGCUCUGCGAGGUGGACAAGGAAGGCGGCUUCCUCUGCGAGACGGCGCCGGCCGCCGAGGAGGACGAAAAGUGCAGUGACUCCCACGGGUCGUCGGCGGUCUCCUACGAGCUCAUGCCGCUUAUUCCACAGGAGAUGGACCUGCCGGCCCACGACGCGGAGGAACUGGAGUGGGUGUCGCGUAUCAUGGACGACUCGCAGGCAGAGCUCCCGCCGCCGCAGCAGCUCCCAGCGCCAGCGGCGUGGCCACCGCAGCACCGCCGGCCGCAGGAAAGCGCCGUGCCGACCGUGGACCCUAUGCGGACCCCGACCAUAUGCGCGCUUUCCACGGAAGCGUUGGUGCCGGUGAGGUCGAAGAAGCGCAGCAAGCGCUCGCGCGGCACCACCGUGUGGUCGCUCUCCGGUGCGUCCAUAUCCGACUCGGCGUCGUCGUCCGCCACCAGCUCCUCCUGCUCCUCGUCGGCCUCCCUGUCGUCCUUCUUCCUAAUGGACUCCCCCACCUUCAACCUCCUCGACGAACCUCCACGCCCCAAGAACAAGAGCAAGAAGUCCAAGCACAAGGCCAAGAAGCGCGGGCGCAAGCCAAAGAGCCAUCUCCCGCCGCAGCUGUCGGGCGGCGCCGCCUCCCCGCCGGCCCAGGGCGACCGGCGGUGCAGCCACUGCGGCGUCCAGAAGACGCCCCAGUGGCGCGCUGGGCCGGAGGGCGCCAAGACGCUGUGCAACGCCUGCGGCGUCCGCUUCAAGUCGGGGCGGCUCCUCCCGGAGUACCGGCCGGCGUGCAGCCCCACGUUCGUGGGCAACCUGCACUCCAACUCCCACCGCAAGGUGCUGGAGAUGCGCCGCAAGAAGGACCCCGUCCCCGUCGUCAUCGAGGCCGCCACCGCGCCGGCCGUGGCCUCGUUCUAGCCGCCCCUCCCCGCGGCGGGUAGUGUACAUCUUUUUCGGCCGUGCCGUUGAUUAGUCUGUUGUAACGCACUCGUGGAUUUUUCUUGGCGUCCUCUAUUUAGUUGUUGCCCUACUACUAGAAAGAACUUGUUAGAAAGUAGUUUUAGUAGGAGUCUAUUAGGUCGUGUUAGGUGUAGGGAUUACCACUGCUCUACUAAGCUUUCGGUUUUAGCUUUGGUCUGUUAGGAUAUUGCCGUAGAAGUGGCGCCUUUUUAGUGGAGUCUCGGGAAGAAAGCUUUUCGAAGUUGUUUGAAUCAUGCGAGGCAGAAGUGGCAAUGUCCAUGCUUGGGUUAUCUUUGGUGUGAAGCAAGAAGCUAGCUAGCUGCCUUGUUUUUCUUUAAAGGAAGCUGCCAACAAUUCCAGAAGAAUACUAUGUCUGGUAGUAGUGUCAUGGCGUGGAUUCCCCUCUUCCUCUUCACAUCAGCGUGCCUGUGCCAAAUCUACCCAAGGAGUUGCAGCUUUUACGGCCCUUCGUCAUUACUACGAACUCGUACGUAUCUGAUUAAUGGCCACCGCACAUCGGGUACAAACAGGAGCCUAAUAACUGCACCGUUACCGUCCAUAUACGACACCCAAAUUACUCCUGCAUUCAAAGUGGAACCAGUAGACUAGGCCACGGGAUUGCCAGCCAAAAAUCUUCACAA